rnacentral:rRNA from 1 species
UACGUAGGGUGCAAGCGUUGUCCGGAAUUAUUGGGCGUAAAGAGCUCGUAGGCGGUUUGUUGCGUCGGCUGUGAAAUCCCGAGGCUCAACCUCGGGUCUGCAGUCGAUACGAGCAAACUAGAGUGUUGCAGGGGAGACUGGAAUUCCUGGUGUAGCGGUGAAAUGCGCAGAUAUCAGGAGGAACACCGGUGGCGAAGGCGGGGUCUCUGGGCCGUAACUGACGCUGGAGGAG